rnacentral:rRNA from 1 species
GACGAACGCUGGCGGCGUGCUUAACACAUGCAAGUCGAACGGGAUUUAGUAAACAGAAGCCUCGGUUGGAGAUUACCAAUGAGAGUGGCGAACGGGGGAGUAACGCGUGAGCAACCUGCCUAUGACAGUGGGAUAGCCACUGGAAACCGGGAUUAAUACCGCAUAAAAUGGUAGAAACACAUCUUUUAACGGUCAAAGAUUUAUCGGACAUAGAUGGGCUCGCGUCUGAUUAGCUAGUUGGUGAGAUAACAGCCCACCAAGGCGACGAUCAGUAGCCGGUCAGAGAGGAUGAACGGCCACAUUGGAGCUGAGACACGGUCCAAACUCCUACGGGAGGGAGGAGUGGGGAAUAUUGCACAAUGGGGGAAACCGUGAUGCCGCGGCGCCGCGUGAACGAAGAAGGUAUUCGUAUCGUAAAGUUCUGUCCUAUGGGAAGAUAGUGACAGUACCAGAGGAGAAAGCUCCGGCUAAAUACGUG